AUCCCUUCCAUGCCGGGGUUAUGGCAUGACCUCCCUGUUGGACUGACCCGGCUUCGCGCCGGGUCUUUUUU
rnacentral:ncRNA from 1 species